GAUGGGGUAUCCGAAAACCAUUGAAAGAGUAGGAA
rnacentral:ncRNA from 1 species